GAUGAACGCUGGCGGCGUGCCUAAUACAUGCAAGUCGAGCGAACGGACGAGAAGCUUGCUUCUCUGAUGUUAGCGGCGGACGGGUGAGUAACACGUGGAUAACCUACCUAUAAGACUGGGAUAACUUCGGGAAACCGGAGCUAAUACCGGAUAAUAUUUUGAACCGCAUGGUUCAAAAGUAAAAGACGGUCUUGCUGUCACUUAUAGAUGGAUCCGCGCUGCAUUAGCUAGUUGGUAAGGUAACGGCUUACCAAGGCAACGAUGCAUAGCCGACCUGAGAGGGUGGUCGGCCACACUGGAACUGAGACACGGUCCAGACUACUACGGGAGGCAGCAGUAGGGAAUCUUCCGCAAUGGGCGAAAGCCUGACGGAGCAACGCCGCGUGAGUGAUGAAGGUCUUCGGAUCGUAAAACUCUGUUAUUAGGGAAGAACAUAUGUGUAAGUAACUGUGCACAUCUUGACGGUACCUAAUCAGAAAGCCACGGCUAACUACGUG
rnacentral:rRNA from 1 species